rnacentral:rRNA from 1 species
GAUGAACGCUAGCGGCAGGCUUAAUACAUGCAAGUCGAGGGGCAGCAUGACUGUAGCAAUACAGUUGAUGGCGACCGGCAAACGGGUGCGGAACACGUACGCAACCUUCCCAAAACUGGCGAAUAGCCUUUCGAAAGAGAGAUUAAUACACCGUAACUUAAUGAAGUGGCAUCACUUUAUUAAUAUAGCUCCGGCGGUUUUGGAUGGGCGUGCGGCUGAUUAGGUAGUUAGCGGGGUAACAGCCCACCAAGCCUACGAUCAGUAACUGGUGUGAGAGCACGACCAGUCACACGGGCACUGAGACACGGGCCCGACUCCUACGGGAGGCAGCAGUAAGGAAUAUUGGUCAAUGGACGCAAGUCUGAACCAGCCAUGCCGCGUGGAGGAUGAAGGUCCUCUGGAUUGUAAACUUCUUUUAUCGGAGAAGAAACCCCAAUUUUCUUGUUGGGUUGACGGUACCCGAUGAAUAAGCACCGGCUAACUCCGUGCCAGCAGCCGCAGUAAUAC